rnacentral:snoRNA from 1 species
GUCAGAUGAUUGGAAUUUGACCUCCUGAUUGUUCUGUGAGGACCCGCCGUUCUUAUAGCAUGUUAGAGUUCUGAUGGCA